rnacentral:misc_RNA from 1 species
UCGACAUUGUCCGUGGAGUAUGCGUUACAUGUUCCCCAGCUGAAACGGACCAAGGUUGGGAACCCAAAAACUGCGUGUUUGUGAUUAUCUAGCCAAGCUUUUGUCUCAGGAUCUCCAGGAUAUCCAGAUCCGAAGUUCCUUUGCAUGUUCUCAGCAGUUUCAUCAAGCACCCAAUCCCGCAAGGCUCGGUCCCUAGUAACCUUUGCAACAAUACUGGCUCCACUUACGACGGGGUAAAGACUGUCAGCUUUUUUUGCAACAACAAAUUUGAUUGCUGGAAAAAUUUCAGAUAGCUUCACUCUAUACUUUUCAGGAUCACCAACAGUAUCCACAUAAACCUCAGUUAAAAGAACACCAAGCUCCAGUGUCUUCCUCACAAGGCCGAUUGCAGAAUUAUGAGAUAUUUCAUUAAGAUUUAUUUUAUUUUUCUUUAACAUUUUG